rnacentral:rRNA from 1 species
UUUAAAAUGAGAGUUUGAUCCUGGCUCAGGAUAAACGCUGGCGGCAUGCCUAAUACAUGCAAGUCGAACGGAGGUGCUUGCACCUCAGUGGCGAACGGGUGAGUAACACGUAUCUAAUCUACCUUCUAGCGGGGGAUAACUUUUGGAAACGAAAGGUAAUACCGCAUGUGGAUGUUAUUAUCGCAUGAGAAAACAUUCAAAGAUCCGUUUGGAUCACUAGAAGAUGAGGAUGCGGCGUAUUAGCUAGUAGGCGGGGUAAAGGCCCACCUAGGCGAUGAUACGUAGCCGAACUGAGAGGUUGAUCGGCCACAUUGGGACUGAGAUACGGCCCAGACUCCUACGGGAGGCAGCAGUAGGGAAUUUUUCACAAUGGACGAAAGUCUGAUGAAGCAAUGCCGCGUGAGUGAUGACGGCCUUCGGGUUGUAAAGCUCUGUUGUAAGGGAAGAAAACAUAGGAGAGGAAAUGCUCUUAUCUUGACGGUACCUUACCAGAAAGCCACGGCUAACUAUGUGCCAGCAGCCGCGGUAAUACAUAGGUGGCAAGCGUUAUCCGGAUUUAUUGGGCGUAUAGGGUGCGUAGGCGGUUUCGCAAGUUUGAGGUUAAAGCCCGGAGCUCAACUCCGGUUCGCCUUGAAAACUGCGGGACUAGAAUAUCAGAGAGGUAAGCGGAAUUCCAUGUGUAGCGGUAAAAUGCGUAGAUAUAUGGAAGAACACCAGUGGCGAAAGCGGCUUACUGGCUGAUUAUUGACGCUGAGGCACGAAAGCGUGGGGAGCAAAUAGGAUUAGAUACCCUAGUAGUCCACGCCGUAAACGUUGAGUACUAAGUAUUGGGGAUUACCUCAGUGCUGCAGCUAACGCAUUAAGUACUCCGCCUGAGUAGUAUGCUCGCAAGAGUGAAACUCAAAGGAAUUGACGGGGACCCGCACAAGUGGUGGAGCAUGUGGUUUAAUUCGAAGCAACACGAAGAACCUUACCAGGGCUUGACAUACAGUGCAAAGCUACAGAGAUGUAGUGGAGGUUAACAUUGAUACAGGUGGUGCAUGGUUGUCGUCAGUUCGUGCCGUGAGGUGUUGGGUUAAGUCCCGCAACGAACGCAACCCUUGUCGUUAGUUACUAACAUUAAGUUGAGGACUCUAACGAGACUGCUAGUGUAAGCUAGAGGAAGGUGGGGAUGACGUCAAAUCAUCAUGCCCCUUAUGUCCUGGGCUACACACGUGCUACAAUGGCCGAUACAAAGAGUCGCAAUCUCGCGAGGGGGAGCUAAUCUCAAAAAGUCGGUCUCAGUUCGGAUUGAAGUCUGCAACUCGACUUCAUGAAGCCGGAAUCACUAGUAAUCGCGAAUCAGCUAUGUCGCGGUGAAUACGUUCUCGGGUCUUGUACACACCGCCCGUCAAACCACGAGAGUUGGUAAUACCAGAAGUACGUUUCCUAACCGUAAGGAAGGCGCGUCCCAAGGUAGGACUAGCGAUUGGGGUUAAGUCGUAACAAGGUAUCCGUACGGGAACGUGCGGAUGGAUCACCUCCUUUCU